AGAUGGAGUAAAGCAUGUCGGCUUUGCACGAUAAUGAUGCACCAACUGGUAAAGGGGAAUUCGGAUGCUAAUUAGCUUCCCUUUAGGACUUCCUUUGAGAAGUGCUUUUAAGCCGCCAGAGCAGCUGUCUGAUAUAGAAAAUAACAAAGCAGAGGAACUACAUCAGGAGAUCACACGAGAUACCUGUAGGACACGCCAUAAGAAAGAAAAGAGAAAUGGGAAAGAGGGUCACUCGCUCAUUUAAAGAAUCUGAAAGGUACACUUCGGAACCUGAGUCCGCAAUCUGCUGCCAGCCCUCAUUCCCUAGACUGUGUUCACUUGAGAAGCUCCUACUCCUUCAUCUCACAUGGCACCUGCAGCCUUGUGAGGGUUUUGGAAGAGCAAGACUGCUACCGAUGUGCUGAUGUUCCGAUCUCCCACAGUCCACAAAAAACAACCAACAUUUUAAUAGAAGAAGAAUUUAUCUUUAGUGCUGUGCAGUUUGGCUCAUUGCUUUCCACUGUAAGUGUGAAUGUGCUUUGAUCUCAACCAAUUACAGUAUUUAGUUCCAAUUUCUCAAAACAAUGAUUUCUGUACUGGCUUCCUAAGGACAGGAGGAACUUGCAAAUUGUAUUUUAAACAUUUGUUUCUGGACAGAUCCUAAGCCUUAGGUGAGGGCUUUUUGAGUUUAAAAAAAUAGAUUAUCCAUUGCUGAUGUUUCACAAACAUGCAUUUCUGGGUGAGCUGGGGAGGAGGGGGUUUACAAAAAAUUAUAAGAUCAAGCAGUCCUUGAUAUAAUUGCAUCCACCCGUGUGUUUCCGGAAAAUCAGCACCGUAUCUGGUACUGUUUUAAAACUCCAGAGUGUCAGACUCCAGCAGUGAAGCACUAGUCUAUCACCGUGUUACUGUGGAUUGACAUUGUGAAACCAAUUUCAAUUAGCACUCAAACAACAUCUUUAUUCACAGGGCCCAUUCAUGCAGCACGUGUGUGUCAAAUUAAACACUGUGAAUGAUUCAUGUACUGCCAGAGUUUUUUAACAGGCGUUACUUACCUAGAUCCCCCCCAACAUCUGUUGAUGGUAUGAACAAUAUUCUUACAGUGAACAGCAAAUUAAAAUGAGCAAUCAGUAAUGCACAAUGUUACUUAAACCGAUCGAGCUCAGUCCUGGCUAAAAGCUUCAGUAGCCACAGCUGGGAAUUAGCCAGAUGGAUCUGGCUUAUUUGGAUGAACCUCCACGAGCAUACACAUCUCCUGGGAAGAACUCGUCAGUGAUGUCAUUGCCUACGUUGUGCGAAGCCUGGAAGUAAGCACAUCAGCUGGGGCUGAGGCACUGGGCUGUCUGGACAGAAAAUUCACUCUCACCCUGCAGGAGGACAGAAGUUCUGCUCUACUUUUCACCCACAACCACCAAAACUAGACCUCUGGAGGUCUAAAAUGAAACCUCGGAUUUGAUCUUAAAGAAGGGUUUUAAGGAUUGAAACACCUGAGACUAAAAAUAAUGAAAGAAGUAGAAUUUUGCAGAAUGUACCCAAUACUGUAUCAGUAAGGAAGGAAACUAAUUAGGAUGCAGCUUUUCAGAAAACCUUUUUACCCCUGACUCUUCAUGUUUUCUUGCCUGUUCUCUGCUAGGACAUUAGGGGUUAACUGUAAAGACUCUGAUUAGCAAGAGUACUAUACUUGCUUAUUUGAACUGGCAAUAGUUAGUCUAGAAUUAGUGAUAAUUAGGGUCUGUGAAACUACUGGCAAGUGUAAUCAUCUUAGACCUGUUCGGUUUUCACAGCCAAAUCACUAGUAUGACCCUUCUCUAUUUUACUGUGUGCAAUGAGCAAAUCACAGCCCAUUUACACUGUUCUACAGUAUAAAAGAUUUAAAGUGACUACAAAAUAAAUAUCUUCUUGGGUGUACUGACAUUAUUAACAUUAACAUUAACAUUAUAAACAUUUGUGAAGUGUGCGAACUGAAACUAUUUUCUCUGCACACAGAAAUAUAGCGAUUUCUAGGGGAGUUUAGUAUGUUGAAUUACAUUCAAUGACAGGAGACCAAAAGAUACAAAGCAAGAAGAUUCCCAUUUAUCCUCCUGGCAGCUGAAACAGAAAUAUCCAAAUACAUGACCUCAGCAGUUGCUACAUAAUGGGCUUGACCUCUUCCAUCCCGAACAGAGCAAAUCCCACAGACACAAGCAGCCACACAUCCCUCAGUGUCAGCAAUGGAAUUUCUGUCAUCUUACUGCCACAAGCACAAGAUCUGAAACAGUUUAAACAGAGGACUAGAGGACCAGGAAACAAAUGUAUUCUAGGCAUGGAAUGAGAACCGAUUAGUUCUAAACAGAAAGUACUGCAGAACAACUACCAGUAGCAAAAAACUUGACAUCUGAGAAGGCCUGUUGAGGGAUUAUCUCUUAGUUCAUAUAAGAGUUGAAUGACUUAUCUCUUCCACCCGACACAUGAUUUUCUUGAGAAAUCAUUUCCCUACGUGUGUAAUAUACUCUUUAUCAUAAAAAGAGGUGUGUAUUGUGAUGCAUGUAAAAACCCACAAGGUUACAACAUGUCAUCUAGCUAACAGUUCUUUGAUUGAUGAAGGCAUGAUUCAUAACUGGCACUUGCACAAAAUCCCUUGCUAUUGCGCCACUGUAGCAGUUGUUUACUCUUGCUGUGAAUUGUGAACUGUGAACUUGUGGUGUGCAACACAGACACCUGACACGCUGUACUACAGUUUGUGUAGACCCUAAAAGGUUCUGCAGAACCAAAACACACUGGGCUUCACAGGGAGCUCUCCCAUGAAGUAUGACACAUUGAGAACCUGGACUUGAAACCAAUGAAAUUAAUAAUUGACUCAAUGAUUUCACUACAGGCUCAAGUCUAAAGAAUGACCAUUGGUCCAUGACCAAGAAGAAGUGUAGCCUGUGUUGAUUUAUUCCUCUUCACAGCCAAAGAACCAACAACAACCCUUGGGUCUUCUGAUGAUAACUCUAUAAUUUAAUGAUAACUCUGUUUGGACUGUGAGUCACUUCCUUUCCAGAGAACACCAGCACUGCACACCCCACCACUGGCCUGCCAUGUGAAUCCCGACUACAAUCCACCGGGAAAUUACCUGCAGGAAGCGCACUGCAAAGCUGAAACAAUUGGGUGAAUUACAGUGUACGACGAGGUUCUGUGUAGAAUACACUGAGACAGCUGUUUUAAAACAGAGAAACUCUGUGACCCCUGCCUCUUGUAAGCUUUAAUAACCUGUUAUUUUCUAAGUACUUCUCUAUAAUUUGUGAUGAGACCACAACAUUUCAGAUGAAGCAAUAAAGGUUAACUAUUCUUAUUGUUAUAAUGCAGUAUACUACAUUUCUGCCAUUGACAACAGUGCUCUGCAGUACAAGAAACAUGUUUUUGGACCAUUACAGUAUAUGGCAUAAUGUUUGAAAUGUACCUGUUAUGAGUCAUUAGUUAAAUCACA
rnacentral:lncRNA from 1 species